GACGAACGCUGGCGGCGUGCUUAACACAUGCAAGUCGAACGAAGAGCGAUGGAAGCUUGCUUCUAUCAAUCUUAGUGGCGAACGGGUGAGUAACGCGUAAUCAACCUGCCCUUCAGAGGGGGACAACAGUUGGAAACGACUGCUAAUACCGCAUUCGAUCUGACCUCGGCAUCGAGGAUAGAUGAAAGGUGGCCUCUAUUUAUAAGCUAUCACUGAAGGAGGGGAUUGCGUCUGAUUAGCUAGUUGGAGGGGUAACGGCCCACCAAGGCGAUGAUCAGUAGCCGGUCUGAGAGGAUGAACGGCCACAUUGGGACUGAGACACGGCCCAGACUCCUACGGGAGGCAGCAGUGGGGAAUCUUCCGCAAUGGACGAAAGUCUGACGGAGCAACGCCGCGUGAGUGAUGACGGCCUUCGGGUUGUAAAGCUCUGUUAAUCGGGACGAAAGGCCUUCUUGCGAAUAGUUAGAAGGAUUGACGGUACCGGAAUAGAAAGCCACGGCUAACUACGUG
rnacentral:rRNA from 1 species